AGGGGGCCCCUGGGCCUCCACGGCCUUGGUUUGGCCAGGGCCGGGGUGGUUUCUUUGCUGUUUCACCCCACUGCCCUGAAGAGGCAGUGGCACAGGGCUUGAGAGGCCAGCCGGGGGUUGGAGCCAGCCCCCUUCCCCCAGCAGGCAGGCAGGGCAUCGGAGCCGAGCCAUAGAUGGGCCGACGGGUGGCCCGGGAGCUGCAGAAGCAGUGGAGAUCGUGCAGAGCUGGAAGAAUUCCAGGCAGAGGAUGAGAGAAAGACUUGAAGCAGUCUCACUGCCACUUUCCACUCCCCCCCCCACCAUCGGCAGGGGAGGAGGAGACCCUGAGUUGAGACUGAGCGACGCAGAGGCAGGCCGAGGGGCUCGGAGGUGAUUUGGGCGGGGGCAGCCGAAAACCAAAAGAGGAAUGUGGGGGAGGAAUGCCUCCUCUGACAUGUGGAAGUCGAGCUGAAGCUGCAGGUGAAACAGAGAGAAGCCAAACCAAGCAGACUUUUUCUGGGUGAAGCAUGUCAGGAGACAAGAGCCUGAACUACAAAUGUGCUGUGAAUAUUGCAGCCUCCACUGAGCCUGCAGGUGAUUGCUAUGGGAAUUACUACGAUGAAAAUAAUUUAGGGUGAAAGGCAGAUGAAUUCUUAAGAACUUAUUGGGAACUUGAGGCUCCCACACACAUAAAAGUCAGAAGUGGACCCAUACCAGGUGAAGAUGUGCUGUGGUGGUGAUUACAGCUCUUGAUGCUCUUCUAUCUUGCCAUCUCCUUUUCCCUGACUCUCAGAAAGAAUAAUAAACAGCAACC